rnacentral:rRNA from 1 species
UACGUAGGGGGCAAGCGUUGUCCGGAAUUAUUGGGCGUAAAGAGCGUUUAGGCGGUCCGGUAAGUCAGCUGUGAAAGUCAAGGGCUCAACCCUUGAAAGCCGGUUGAUACUGUCGGGCUAGAGUCCGGAAGAGGCGAGUGGAAUUCCCGGUGUAGCGGUGAAAUGCGCAGAUAUCGGGAGGAACACCAAUGGCGAAGGCAGCUCGCUGGGACGGUACUGACGCUGAGACGCGAAAGCGUGGGGAGCAAACAGG